rnacentral:rRNA from 1 species
GAUGAACGCUAGCGGCAGGCCUAACACAUGCAAGUCGAGGGGCAGCAUAAAGCUAGUUUACUAGUUUUGAUGGCGACCGGCGCACGGGUGCGUAACGCGUAUGCAACCUACCAUUAACAGGGGGAUAAUUCGGAGAAAUCUGGUCUAAUACCCCAUAUUAUAUUUUGUGGCAUCACAGAAUGUUGAAAGAUUUAUCGGUUAAUGAUGGGCAUGCGUUGUAUUAGCUAGUUGGUGAGGUAACGGCUCACCAAGGCUACGAUACAUAGGGGGACUGAGAGGUUAACCCCCCACACUGGUACUGAGACACGGACCAGACUCCUACGGGAGGCAGCAGUGAGGAAUAUUGGUCAAUGGACGCAAGUCUGAACCAGCCAUGCCGCGUGCAGGAAGACGGCUCUAUGAGUUGUAAACUGCUUUUGUACGAGGGUAAACUCAGGUACGUGUACCUGACUGAAAGUAUCGUACGAAUAAGGAUCGGCUAACUCCGUGCCAGCAGCCGCAGUAACAC